AUCUGAACACGCGGGAGCUUGGACCCCUUCCAGGCUGAGAGUGCGCUGGUCGACCGUACGCCACGGUAGUCGUGGAGGGCGGGCGAGGGAGCGCUGACCGCCGGAACCUGUCCGGGUAAUGCCGGCGUAGGGAGUAUCGGCCAUGCCGCC
rnacentral:ncRNA from 1 species